rnacentral:rRNA from 1 species
UCCGGUUGAUCCUGCCAGAGGUUACUGCUAUCGGAGUUCGAUUAAGCCAUGCGAGUCUAAAGGCUUCUUCGGAAGCCUUGGCGGACUGCUCAGUAACACGUGGAUAACCUACCCUUGGGACUGGCAUAACCCCGGGAAACUGGGGAUAAUACCAGAUAGAUCAGGGAUGCUGGAAUGCACCUUGAUCCAAAGCUCAGGCGCCCAAGGAUGGAUCUGCGACCUAUCAGGUUGUAGUGGGUGUAACGUACCUACUAGCCGACGACGGGUACGGGUUGUGAGAGCAAGAGCCCGGAGAUGGAUUCUGAGACACGAAUCCAGGCCCUACGGGGUGCAGCAGGCGCGAAACCUUUACAAUGUGCGAAAGCAUGAUAAGGGAACUCCGAGUGCCAGCAUCUAAUGCUGGCUGUCCUUGUGCCUAAAACGUACAAGAUAGCAAGGGCCGGGUAAGACCGGUGCCAGCCGCCGCGGUAACACCGGCGGCCCGAGUGGUAGCCACUAUUAUUGGGUCUAAAGGGUCCGUAGCCGGUUUGGUAAGUCCUCUGGAAAAUCUGGUUGCUCAACAAUCAGACUGCCAAGGGAUACUGUCGAACUUGAGACCGGGAGAGGUAAGAGGUACUUCAGGGGUAGGAGUGAAAUCUUGUAAUCCCUGGGGGACCAUCUGUGGCGAAGGCGUCUUACCAGAACGGGUCUGACGGUGAGGGACGAAAGCUGGGGGCGCGAACCGGAUUAGAUACCCGGGUAGUCCCAGCCGUAAACGAUGCUCGCUAUGUGUCAGGUACGGUGCGACCGUAUCUGGUGCCGUAGGGAAGCCGUGAAGCGAGCCACCUGGGAAGUACGGCCGCAAGGCUGAAACUUAAAGGAAUUGGCGGGGGAGCAC